rnacentral:rRNA from 1 species
AGCAGCCGCGGUAAUUCCAGCUCCAAUAGCGUAUAUUAAAGUUGUUGCAGUUAAAAAGCUCGUAGUUGAAUUUCGGGAUUGACGUGAUGGUCAUACCUUAAGGGGUAUGAACUGUCGCUGUUGAUUUCUCACCUUCUGGAGAAACUUGAUGUCCUUAAUUGGGUGUCUUGCGGAUCCAGGACCUUUACCUUGAAAAAAUUAGAGUGUUUAAAGCAGGCAUUUUUGCUCGAAUACAUUAGCAUGGAAUAAUAGAAUAGGACGGCAUGGUUCUAUUUUGUUGGUUUCUAGGAUCACCGUAAUGAUUAAUAGGGAUAGUUGGGGGCAUUAGUAUUCAAUUGUCAGAGGUGAAAUUCUUGGAUUUAUUGAAGACUAACUACUGCGAAAGCAUUUGCCAAGGAUGUUUUCAUUAAUCAAGAACGAAAGUUAGGGGACCGAAGACGAUCAGAUACCGUCGUAGUCUUAACCAUAAACUAUGCCGACUAGGAAUCAGACGAUGUUAAUUUAUUAAUGACUCG